rnacentral:rRNA from 1 species
GGAAUUACUGGGCGUAAAGCGCACGCAGGCGGUCUGUCAAGUCGGAUGUGAAAUCCCCGGGCUCAACCUGGGAACUGCAUUCGAAACUGGCAGGCUAGAGUCUUGUAGAGGGGGGUAGAAUUCCAGGUGUAGCGGUGAAAUGCGUAGAGAUCUGGAGGAAUACCGGUGGCGAAGGCGGCCCCCUGGACAAAGACUGACGCUCAGGUGCGAAAGCGUGGGGAGCAAACAGGAUUAGAUACCCUGGUAGUCCACGCCGUAAACGAUGUCGAUUUGGAGGUUGUGCCCUUGAGGCGUGGCUUCCGGAGCUAACGCGUUAAAUCGACCGCCUGGGGAGUACGGCCGCAAGGUUAAAACUCAAAUGAAUUGACGGGGGCCCGCACAAGCGGUGGAGCAUGUGGUUUAAUUCGAUGCAACGCGAAGAACCUUACCUGGUCUUGACAUCCACAGAACUUUCCAGAGAUGGAUUGGUGCCUUCGGGAACUGUGAGACAGGUGCUGCAUGGCUGUCGUCAGCUCGUGUUGUGAAAUGUUGGGUUAAGUCCCGCAACGAGCGCAACCCUUAUCC